UCUUGUCUAGUUGUUUUAUGUAAAUGUACAUGGAUCAACAGUUGAUUAUAACUCCGGCGGCAGUGAAAUGCUGCUUGAAUGCAUCCCUCCAUGAAUGCUGAAGCCUGAAUAAUCACUUCUUCGGCUGUGAAAAGAACACAGAGCAUUUCCUUAUGUCUGCACUCCAUAGUUAGCUGGAGCCUUUUCCUCGUGAGAUUCAGGCUGAAAACCAUCACCGCUGUCCUGAUGCACCAGAUUCGUUGGUCAACAAAGAGCUAUCUGAGAAGUGUAAUUGGAAACUGUUUGGAAAAGGGCAUGCUCUUUCACAAGAAUACCUGACAGCUGAUUGGAUGAACCAUCUGUCUAUCACGUCCGCCACUGUUGUUUUGACUGAACAGUCGCGGGUGUCACACACACCCCCCUAAACCACGCCCGUAGCUGCCCUGCUCCUCACCGGACGCUGAUUGGUUCGGUAAGCUGGUAUCUCCGACACAAACGCAUUACAUGAAGCCUGACAAGACAGAUUUUUUGGGUGAUUCUAACAGGAUCUUGUGUUGUCGCGAGAAUUCAGCUGCCGGACAACCCUAACAUCGGUGCGCCAGUGUUGCGGAAAAAUCUAAUAAACACCUGAUCAUCAGUGAACAUCUGGCCUCAAAAUCCCUUCCUUCCUAAGAUCUGUCAGCGCCGGAGACCACAGCAGUCUGUUCAGUUUGUUCCACAGUCAUCUCUCCUGGAUCAGUUAACCGUUUUUUUUUCUCUUCCUUUGAAGGAUUCCGUCCUUUAAGUUACUCAGCUAAUUAUGUGAUAUCAGUCGUUCACUCAUAUUUGCUUCAACAAUGCCUGGUGUAUUACUGGAGUAACUGCUUCCUUUUGGUCCGAUGAAGUCUUGGAUAGUUAUUCUGCUGGGGCAGAACAGGGGAGAAAAAAACAGAAAUCCUUCAUUCCAUGGAUUCUGUCAUCCGGGCAUUUAAAAAGACUGGGUUGGGGCCAGAAUGUGGACUAAGUAGGACAAGAACUGUAUGUCACUGCAUGUUGUCGCUACUGCCAUUUUUUUCUUGAUUUUCUGGCGGUUCACUGAUCUGGAAUUUCCAGAUCCAUGAACCGGCCGUGUCUCCAAUACCGCAGUGUUUUUAUGAAGGCUUUUAGUAGUUUCUUCUUCUUCUUCUUCUUCUUCAGUGCUAUUAGCAUAUCAAGCACCCAACAAAUUGGUCAAAUACUGUACUGAAUCCUUAUUCUUUUUAUUUCCAUAUCAUCUUAGUAGACAGUAUUAUAUAAUGCAGUAUCAAAUGCUAUAUGAUUUAAGGAAGAUUUUCCUUUUUGUUGUCUGAGAGUGACAGUAAGUCAGUAUAGCAGCCCACACAGCAUAGAGCCAGUCUGUUAUGUUUAACUGUAUCAUAGCUGUAAAUAUAUUGUCCAUCUGAACCUUUUAAUAAGGGGAAACGUCAGAAAUGAGUUAUUGUCAUGAAGACAGUUACAUCACUUUAGACUAUUCAUUAGGCCAUUCCUUAUUAUCAGCUCUCUGCCUAGGCUGAAAUUAGUCGCCAAUAAGGCAACAAUUAUCUCUUGCUGCAUUGCACACUUUGUAUUAAAAUGAUGUGAGCAGUUUCUUUUGUAACAGUCUUAUACAUUACAGUCAGUACAUUACCUCACUUUGGUCACAGUUUUAAGCAUUCCGUCCACCACAGAUCUUUACCAUGUCAUUUUUAGUCUCAUUAUUUCUAGUACCUCAAGAGUCUUGUACCUUUUAAGUAGAAAUGCAAAACAAUUCCACAGUAACAAGUUUAGACCUUAGGGUGUACAUAUUCUUCUAAGAUGGACUGUUUUCUAAAUAUUUUAUAAUUGACAAGCCAUCCUUAUGUAUGUGUACAUAAUUAUAGGCUUAUGAAUGUGAAACCCCAUCCCAGAACAGAGUUCAUACAUGUUGUUUCCAUGUGAACAUGAACACAAGCUACUGACAGUGAACUUGAAGGCUCCUGGUCGAUGUGUUCAAGAUCCAAUAAUGUAUCAGGUGAAUUCUGUUUUGUGGUUGACCAACGUGCAGAAGUCAGGCUCUUUGCACGAUGGCCACCUUGCACAUGUUUUCUGUAUUAUAUCCUCCUUUGGAAAUGAUGUUUCAAAGUGGAAACGUUUAAAGCCAUUCUGUAGUCAGUAUUGAAGAUUUCACUGACAGCCAUUGGCAUUGGAUCAGUAUUUCUUACACUACCCAACAUAGGACGCACACCUGUUAUUUGAUGGGUAAUCUUGAGAUUUUUUUUUUCUCGCCCAGAUAUGAUGAGAUGCAGUGGGCUGGGCUUGUCUAGUAUUUUCUCUGAUAUUUUUGUCAUUUAAACAAUGAGCUUCAAGGCAAGAAAACCAAAGAUGAAUGCUUUGAUAUAUUGGCUUUCUUGAAUCUAAAUAUGGAAGAUAAGUCACAACUAACCUAUUUGAUUUGAAAAGAUCUUUUAUAUUUCCAAAGUUCCUUAGAGUGGAACGUAUAUUAUAUACCGAACAAAAGAUAGACCAACCCAUCCAGCAAAGGCCUGAAAGAUCUCCCAGGAGCUUAUAAAAUCGAUAAAUCAGAACAAAAUAAUAUGCAAUUAAAAGUUGCUAGUGUUCAUAUAUUUAAUUACUUACACAUAGAAGUAUGUACACGCUUUAGACAGGGCUGCAGUGAAGAAAUAAUUGUUACUUUCAAAUGUGAAUUGUCUAUUUCUGAUCCAUUUUCAUCAGCCUCUACCAUUUUCUCCAUCAGAUUUUGCUCAAACGGCUAACGUCAUCAUCCUCUAUAUUAUAUUUACUCUUGAAUGUUGAAUAUCAAAAAUGUGCGCCAAAUGUUUUAUAUUCGGUGAUACUUUGAGUUUUUAUUAUGGACUUGAUACAGUAUAAAUAUUGCAGCUGGUUCUGUGAGAAUAUUUUAAAACUGGAAAAUGAACUCUCCGAUAAUGACCGUCUCAAUGCUAAGUUGUUACCAAAUUUCAUAUUUGUUUGUUUUGGUGUGAAACAGACGCCAGACCAGAUUGCUAGUUAACAGCUCAUGGGUAUUGCCUCCAAGAGUGUAAACCUAUCUUCACAGGCUAACAGAUGCAUUAUUUGCUUGCUCUCAGGGGCUGAACACUUAAGGACCAAGCGAGCUAGCUUGCAAUGAAGUUUGUAGUUAGCAUUGCUAGCUAAUAAAUGGCUAAGAUAGUAGAGGUUUGGCUAGCAGCAACAAAUUCACUUUUUCACUUUGUACACACUUGCUUCGCUGUGUACAGUAACACAUAAGAAUAUUAUAUGACAAAAACAAGUACGACACAACCCUGUAUACUACUGUAUAUGUGAAUGACACACAUUUUGAAUCAGGCACUGGGCUAGCUUGCGGUUAGCUGCAACCAGUUCUGUUCAGCGGUACAGCUUGGUUAGGCCGGAUCCCUGAGCAAGACCCGGCCAUUAGUAGAGGCCAGACAGGUCAGGAGACCAGACCAAAACUAGUCCUAAACAACCACAGUGGUUCCAUCCUGGGUUCAGCUUGUCCAGCUCCACCUUACAUUUACACAAACUUUGUACAGUAGUUAUGUCAGUAGCUA